CCUCUCCAACCUCCCGGCUUACAGGACAGCAGUGAGCCCACUUCUGAGGGGAAUCGAGGUGGGUCUGGCCCAUGGAUUCCUCCUUGUAGGACCAUUUGUUAAGGCAGGGCCUUUGAGGAGCACCCCCGUCGCUGGGGGAGCAGGAAGCCUGGCAGCUGCUGGUCUUGUGGUUAUACUAAGCAUUUGCUUGUCAAUGUACGGAGUUGCAUCGUUUAAGGAAGGAGAGCCAUCCACCGCACCUUCUUUAACCUUGACUGGGCGGAAGAAGGAGCCAGACCAGCUGCAAACAGCUGAGGGAUGGGCUAGUUUCACUGGAGGAUUCUUCUUUGGGGGAAUUU
rnacentral:lncRNA from 1 species